rnacentral:rRNA from 1 species
AUUAAUACUCCAUAGUAUCACAAUUUCGCAUGUUAUUGUGAUUAAAGUUUUUCGGUAUGAGAUGGGCAUGCGUCCCAUUAGCUUGUUGGUGAGGUAACGGCUCACCCAGGCAACGAUGGGUAGGGGGCCUGAGAGGGUGGUCCCCCACACUGGUACUGAGACACGGACCAGACUCCUACGGGAGGCAGCAGUGAGGAAUAUUGGUCAAUGGAGGAAACUCUGAACCAGCCAUGCCGCGUGAAGGAUGACGGCCCUAUGGGUUGUAAACUUCUUUUAUAGAGGAAUAAACUUG